GAACCGCUCCAGCCGUAAGUGACGGAAGUCGCACAACUGUCGCGCGUGCGCAGAGCUCCCCGGCUGGCCUAGUCGGAGAAAGACCGUUGGGGGUCCAGAGAUUCUGUCAUUUUCUGCGGUCUUCAGAGUAUUCUAACCAUGGACACCGGAGACUGCGAAAUGGACUGGUUCCUCAUCCUACCGACUCAGGGCUAGCACAACCCCAGCUGCACACCCGCGAGCAGCCCAGCUGCAGGGUUCGACCAGGCCACCUUUAGUGUUGCGCGAAACCUUCCGCUGAAGCUCUCCCUCGUGGAACGGAAACCGAUUAUUCGCCCGGUGGUUUUUACCAGAAAAUCGCAGGCCGAGGCUAAACAAUUCACGGAAGAAUAACAGUAAAAUGCAACUGUAUCUCCCAACUGUGGCCACUUUAAAACUUAAUAAUCCUUCCAACGGGAAUCAGCACUCUUUCAGCAUAUGAGGAAAAACACUGGGACACAAAGGGUGCCCUCCAGUUGGUUCUGACCCAUGGCGACUGUAUGUACAACGGAAAGAAACACCACCCAGUCCUGCACCGUCGUCAGAAUCGUUGCUAUGUGUAAUUUGCAAGAAGAAAAAGCAAUCAGAGAAAUAACAUGACCCAGCAACACGCAUGCAUACACGCGCACACACACACACACACACACACACACAAAUGUGUUUGCAGAGAAACACAUUGAGUUUAAAUGGGUAAAGACCUAGAAAUAUACGUUCCAGAUUGGGUUAAUAACCUUCCAAGAAAGUACCUUUUGGUGGUUAAUAUAGGAAGGCAACUUCUCCACCUAUACCUUCCUUGUCUCCACACCCAAACCCCAGGCCCAAGCACCCUUCCCACCAUCCCUAUCUCAGAAUUUUUAUUAUUUUGUUACGUCAAGUAACAUAUCCAAAUGGGCUAUUUAAAGAUAUGAAUACAGUGUGUUCUUACAUUUUUAUCGUACAGACAUGAUCCCAGAAAAAUUAGAGUAAUAAAAAUGAAGGAAAAGGCUAAACUUGUCAUUUCCAAUCCCUAAAUUGUGAAUUUUUCUGCCACUUGUCAUAAGAGGUUAUAUUUAGAUUUUAGUCUAUUUCCUAAAUGAUUUUUAUCUUUUAAAUGUGUUGACUUUAUGUUUCAUGUUUUCUUUUUGGAAUCCAAAAUGAUUAUCAUUAUCACUUAAAUUUAUGUUUAUAUGUAAGUCAUGUGUGGUGCAAUGAAUUACUUAAUAUGGCCCCCUAGCCAUGGUCUUUGAGAUUCACACACAGUGAUUGAGUUUGUUGUUGUUAGGUGCCAUUGACUCAUAGUGACCCUACGUACAACAGAAUGAAACACUGCCCGGUCCUUUGCUAUCCUCGCUAUCAUUGUUAUGUGUGAGCCCAUUGUUCCAGCCACUGUAGUCAUUCCAUCUCGUUGAGGGUCUUCCACUUUUUAACUGACCCUCUACUUUACCAAGCAUGAUGUCCUUUUCCAAGGACUGAUCCUUGCUGAUAACAUGUCCAAAGUAUGUGAGACGUAGUUUCACUAUCCUUGCUUCUAAGGAGCAUUCUGUUUGUACUUCUUCCAAGACAAAUUUGUUCAUUCUUUUAGCAGUCCACAGUAUAUUCAAUAUUCUUCAUCAACACCAUAAUUCAAAGGCGUCAAUUUUUCUUAAAAAAUAGGUCUUCCUUAUUCACUCUCCAGCUUUCACAUGCAUAUGAGGCAAUUGAAAACACCAUGGCUUGGGUCAGGUACCCCUUAGUCUUCAAGGUGACCUCUUUGCUUUUCAACACUUUAAAGAGGUCUUUUGCAGCAGAUUUGGCCAAUGCAAUGCGUCUUUUGAUUUCUUGACUGCUGCUUCCGUGGGUGUUGAUUGUGGAUCCAAGUAAAAUGAAAUCCUUGACUACUACAAUCUUUUCUCCCUUUAUCAUGAUGUUGCUUAUUGGUCCAGUUGUGAGGACUUCUGUUUUCUUUAUGUUGAGGUGUAAUCCAUACUGAAGGCUGUAGACUUUGACCUUCAUCACUAAGUGCUUCAAGUCUUCAUCACUUUCAGCAAGCAAGGUUGUGUCAUCAGCAUAUCACAGGUUGUUAGCGAGUCUUCUUCCAAUCUUGAUGCCCUGUUCUUCUUCACAGAGUUCAGCUUCUCGGAUUAUUUGCUCAGUGUACAGAUUGAAUAGUUAUGGUGAAAGGAUCCAACCCUGACGGACACCUUUCCUGACUUUAAACCAUGCAGUAUCCCAUUGACCUGUUUGGAUGUCUGCCUCUUGAUCUAUGUACAGGAUCCUCAUGAGCGCAAUUAAGUGUUCUGGAAUUCCCAUUCUUCUCAAUGUUAUCCAUAAUUUGUUAUGAUUCAUACAGUCGAACACCUUUGCAUAGUCAAUAAAACACAGGUAAACAUCCUUCUAGUAUUCUCUGCUUUCAACCAGGAUCCAUAUGACGUCAGAAAUGAUAUCCCUGGUUCCACAUCCUCUUCUGAAUCUGGCUUGAAUUUCUGGCAGUUCCCUGUCAGUAUACUGCUGCAGCCGCUUUUGAAUGAUCUUCAGCAAAAUUUUACCCGCAUGUGAUACUAAUAAUAUUGUUCAAUAAUUUCUGCAUUUGGUUGGAUCACCUUUUUUUGGGAAUAGACAUAAAUAUAGAUCUCUUCAAAUCAGGUAGCUGUCUUCCAAGUUUUUUGGCAUACAUGAGUGAGCACUUCCUGUGCUGCACCUGAUGUUGAAACACCUUACUUGAUAUUCCGUCAAUUCCUGGAGUCUUGUUUUUCGCCAGUGCCUUCAUUGCAGCUUGGACUUCUGUCAGUACCAUCAGUUCCUGAUCACAUGCUACCUCCUGAAAUGGUUGAACGUCAACCAAUUCUUUUUGAUGUAGUGACUCUGUGUAUUCCUUCCAUCUUCUUUUGAUGCUUCCUGCGUCAUUUAAUAUUUUCCCUGUAGAAUCCUUCACUAUUGCAACUUGAGUCUUGAUUUUUUUCUUCAGUUCUUUCAGCUUCAGAAAUGACAAGCAUGUUCUUCCCUUUUGGUUUUCUAACUCCAGGCGUUUGCACAUUUCAUUAUAAUCAUCUUCUCAAGCCGCCCUUUGAAAUUUUCCGUUCAACUCUUUUACUUCAUCAUUUCUUCCUUUUGCUUUAGCUACUCAACAUUUAAAAGCAAGUUUCAGAGUCUCUUCUGACAUCCAUUUUAGUCUUUUCCUUCUUUUCUGUCUUUUUAAUGACUUCUUGCUUUCUUUAUGUAUGAUGUCCUUGUACAGUUUGCCUGGUCUUCGGUCAUUAGUGUUCAAUGCGUCAAAUCAAUUCUUGAGGUGGCCUCUAAAUUCAGGCAGGAUGUACGCAAGGUCAUUGUCUUAGAUUGAAUUGUGUUCCCCAAAAAUACGUGUGUCAGUUUGGAUAGGCCAUGAUUCCCGGUAUUGUGUGAUUGUCCACCAUUUUGUCAUCCAAUGUGAUUUUACUAUGAGAUAGGUAAAUCCUACCUCUAUAUUGCUAAUGAGGAAGGAUAGGUGGAAGUUAUGUUAAUGAGGCAGGACUCAAUCUACAAGAUUGGAUUGUGUCUUGAGCCAAUCUCUUUUGCUAUAUAAAAGAGAAGAGUGAGCAGAGAGACAGGGGACCUCAUACCCACAAGAAAGAAGCACUGAGAGUAUAGUGUGUCCAUUGAAGCCGGGAUCCCCACACAGAGAAGCUCUUAGUCCAGGGGAAGAUUGAUGACAAGGACCUUUCUCCAGAGCCAACAGAGAAAGUCUUCCCCUGGAGCUGACACCCUGAAUUUGGACUUCAAGCCUCCUAGACUAUGAAAGAAUAAACUUCUGUUUGUUGAAGCUGUCCACUUGUGGUAUUUCUGUUAUGGCAGCACUAGGUAACUAAGAAUUUGGUACCUGCAGUGGGGCGCUGCUCUAACAGAUACCUAAAAUGUGGAAGUAGUUUUGAAACCAUAAAUGGAUAGAAGACUCAGAAGGAAAUGAGGAAAACUGUUAAAACGGGGGAAGACAUAGCAGCAGAGAACUGUCAGCAGCAGAGGGCCAGCAGCAGCAGAACCAGGAGACCAGUGUGAGACGGUGCUAGAGCUGACCCACAAAGCAAGAGAGCUGAGUGCAUUUGGGCAGGAGGCUUACUAGCGGAGUGGAGUGACUCUUGGCAUUUAUCGGUGGAGCUAGGCUUGCCAACCCACAGAGCAAGAGAGCUGAGUGCCUUCCAGCCAAAGUUUUCUGGCAGAGGGGAGUGCCUCCAGGCACUUAUUGGUGAAGCUACAGAGCUUUGGAACACUUGCCCUAGCAGGGCAGAUGCAAGCGUUAGGCCCGAGGAGCUGAGAGGCCAAGUAACCAGGAAGCUGAAGAGACAAGGAACACAGAAAGCCAAGGUGCCUCAGUCUCAAAAGGUAUGGCCACGACCUCUGGGGCUUCAAAGGGUGGAGCCAUUGCCUCUGGUGUUUCUAAGGGUGAAAUUGCCACUCAAAUGGCCAAGGGGAAUGGUGCACUUAAAGCUGAGAAAGCACAGUUGCUAUCCCAGUGGGCCUGGACGGUGGAGCUGAAGCCCAGAACCGAUGGGCCUCCACUUAGAAUCUGGAGAGUGUGGCCAAUACCUGGAGUCUGGAGGGCAGGGCUAUUGUGUGAAUGGCCUCAGAGAACAGAGGAUUAUUUUCAAAGCUUUUAGGGCUAAUGUGUCCUGCUGACUUGCUUGGUUCCUGUUAUGCGUUCUUUCCCUCUAGUUUCUCCCAUUUGUAAUGGAAAUGUCUAGCUUGCGCCUGCUCUACCAUUGUACUUUGGAAGCAGAUAACUUGAAUUAUAGAUUUCACAGAUGAAGAGGAAUUUUUGGAUUUUGGACUUGGAGUUGAUUCAAGACUUUUGCUAUGGUAUGACGGGGUGAAUAUGUUUUACAUAUGGCAAGGACAUGAAUUUGGGGGGGCCAAAGGGUAGAAUGUCAUGGAUUGAAUUGUGUGUAUCAAUUUGGCUAGGCCAUGAGUCCCAGUAUUGUGUGAUUGUCCACCAUUUGUCAUCUGAUAUGAUCUUCCUAUGUGUUGUAAAUCCUACCUCUAUGAUGUUAAUGAGGAGGGGUAGGUGGCAGUUAUGUUAAUGAGGCAGGACUCAAUCUACAAGGUUGGAUUGUGCCUUGAGCCAAUCUCUUUUGAGAUAUAAAAGAGAGAAGUAAGCAGACAGACAGGGGGACUUCAUACCACCAAGAAAGAAGCACCAGGAGUGGGGCGUGUACUUUGGACCCAGGAUCACUGCACAGAGAAGCUCCUAGUCCAGGGGAAGAUUGAUGACAGGGACCUUCCUCCAGAGCUGACAGAGAAAGCCUUCUCCUGGAGCUGAUGCCCUGAAUUUGGACUCCUAGCCUCCUAGACUGUGAGAGAAUAAACUUCUGUUUGUUGAAGCUAUCCACUUGUGGUAUUUCUUUUAUACCAGCACUAGAUCACUAAGACAGUCAUACUUUGGUUCUCAUAGACUUGCUCUAAUUUUCUUCAGUUUCAAGUUGAACUUGCAUAUGAGCAAUUGAUGGUCUGUUCCACAGUCAGCCCCUGGCCUUGUUCUGACUGAUGAUAUUGAGCUUUCCGAUCGUCUCUUUACACGGGUGUAGUCGAUUUGAUUCCUGUGUAUUCCCUCAGGUGAGGUCCAGGUGUAUAGUUGUUGUUUAUGUUGGUGAAAAAAGGUAUUUGGAAUGAAGACAUCUUUGGUCUUGCAGAAUUCUAUCAUGUGAUCACCAGCACCAUUUCCGUCACCUCUAUCAUGUGGUCUCCAGCAUUGGUUCUGUCACCAAGGGCUGUGUUUUCUAACUAUCGAUCCUUCUCCUUUGUUUCUAACUUUCACAUUCCAAUCAUCAGUAAUUAUCAAUGCUUCCUGAUUGCAUGUUUGAUCAAUUUCAGACUGCAGAAGUUGGUAAAAAUCUUCAAUUUCUUUAUUUUUGGCCUUAGUGGUUGGUGUGUAAAUUUGAAUAAUUGUUGUAUUAACUGGUCUUCCUUGUAGGCGUAUGGAUAUUAUCCUGUCACUGACAGCAUUGUACUUCAGGAUAGAUCUUGAAAUGUUCUUCUUGACAAUGAAUGCAACGCCAUUCCUUUUAAGUUGUCAUUCCUGGCAUAAUGAUUGAGUGGGACUAUGUAAAUAAGGUAUAAACCCAAAAAACCCAGUGCCGUCGAGUCAGUAUGGAACCUGUAAUUGCUGAGGUUAUAUGUCGACUCAGCUGGCCAUGAUUCCCGGUAUUGUGUGGUUGUCUUCCAUUUUAUAUGUUGUGGAUCCUGAGCUUUACAUGUUGAGGAGGCAGGACUGGUAUAAGGUGUAUCUCAGGUUGCAGCCUUGCAGGAGGGCAUGAUUCAAGCUCCACUCUUACUAAAGUUACGCCCUUUCCUGAGGUGUGUCCUGUAUCUAAGAUAUGUGUGUGUGUCCUGGUAAGGCUCUCUCUCUGCAUCUGGAUCCUGUAUCUGGUUCAUGAUCAGUUGAUCUCCCCCAGAGGCCUGCUGUAAUGACCUACCAGUUCUGGGAUUUGCUGGCCUCUACAGGCUCUUGAGCUGGCUGCAUAUUGUGUGACUUGAAUCACCAGCUUCCACAGCCUUCUGGACUAGCAGCCUAUGGUCUGAACUGCUGCUUUGGGUUCAUUAGCUACAAUUUAGGGCUUGCCAGCCUCCACAACCAAAACCAUGUGAGCUGUUUCCUUUAUACUGUUUGUGAGUUCUCAGUUCUGUGAGAUGCUGCAGCGAAUUAGAAAACUCAAAGAAGGGGGGGAAGUGCUGAGGGGAGAGGGAGUAGUUGAUGUUUGAGAUGAUGGAAUAGUACAGCAGCUUGGAAAAGAUGAACAUUUGGGACAUCUUUAACCUCUGCCUCAUAGGAACCAGCUUUGUGCUCAUCCUUAUGAAAGAAUUGUUUAUCAUGGAUUAUUAAGUGCAUAUGAUACAUUGCACGCAAUACAUUACUUUGGUAUCUUUUAAUGUUAAGAUGCCCAGAGCCAUUCCAGGUUACUUUUUGUUGAAACUGUUUCUCUUCUUAAAGGCAAACUCAGACAAAGUAAAAUAAAAAUUGAUGCUUAUGCCACCUAAUUUGUGGUAAAAUUAUAUAUAACAAAACAUUUACCAUUUCAGCACUUUUUACCUAUACAAUUCAGUGACACUAAUUAUGUUCAUCAAGUUAUACAACCAUCACCACUCUCUGUUUCCAUUUUUUUCCAUCACCAUUAACAGAAACUCAGUGUCCCCUAAGCAAUGAAUCCUCUUUUCUCCCUCCCUCCCUCCCUCCCCUGAUAACCACUAAUAAAUUUUGGUCUUUAUACAUUCGCCUAUCCUAGAUAUUUCACGUAGGUGAUACCAUACAGCAUUUGUCCUUUUGUGACUGACUUGCUUUACUCAGCAUGAUGUUUUCAAGAUUAACCCAUGUUGUAACAUUGCAGUAUAGUGAAUUAAUAUGGCCUUUCUAGCCAUUCAUGGUCUUGUGACUCCCACAAAAUGAUUGGGUAGAAUUAUGCAAAUAAGGUGCUUGUUUCCAAUCCAAGGGGAUUGGACAGCUUGCUAACAAUGCAAAUAAGGUGCAGGGAACACUUGCAGGGGUAGUACCAUGCAGAUAAGGUAGAUGGAACCCACAAGGGAAUUACUCAGUUUUGACACCCCACUAGGCUUAAAAUGAGCCAUCCGAGAGGUGAGAAGGAGGGGGCCUCACUACCAUCAAGAAACAAAAGCCAGGAGCAGAGUGUGUCCUUUGGACCUGGGGUUACUGCACUAAGAAACUCCUAGACCCAGAGGACAGAAAGAACUCUAACACUGGAGAAACAGCAGCAGAGAAAGGGCUACAGAAGAACCAAGAGACUGGCACAAGAUGGUACAAUGGGAUCCCUGGCCCACGGAGUGAGACGGUUACAACUGGUGUGCCAAUCCAAGGAAUGAGAGACCUGAAUGCCUUGUGCCAGAAGUCUUGCUGGCACAGUGGGGUGCCUCUGGGCAUUUGAUGGUGCUAGGCUCACCAACCUAUGGAGUGAGACAGCUGAGCAUCUUAGGGCCAAUGCUCACUGGUGGAGUGGGGUGCUUCUGGGUACUUAUUGGCAGAGCUAAGGAGCUUUGUAAGACUUGCUCAAGUAGGGCAAGUGCCUGGCCAAAUGGCUGAGGGGCCAAGGGCCCAAAGGACCAAGAGCUGAAAGAGAGAGACCUGCCUGUGUGCACAGCUGAGAAAUGUCCUGACGAAACAAUUAUAUUCUCAGUUGUUUCUGAUCCUGAACUGUAAUGUGUUACAUCCCUAAUAAACCCCAUAACUGAGUAUGGUCUGUGAGUUCUUUGUGGCCUUUGCAAUGAAUUAGCAAACCCAGCAGAGAAGUAGAACAUGCCAUGGGAGGGAUGGCUGGUUUCAGAGUUGGCAAAAAUGCUGGAGGAUGGAGGUAUGUCUGACCUCUGCCUCAUAGCAAUCAGCUCUGGGCUGAUGCUGUUGAUCUUGAUUCUCCCCUCCUUUGUGAAAUUAGAGGAGGUCUGAUGCCACCAUGCCAUUUUUACAAGCAUAUAUCAGGACUUCAUUUCUCUUAAUGGCUGAGUAAUAUUCCAUUGUAUGUGUGUAUUACAUUUUGCUUAUCCAUUCAUCUGUUGAUAGACAGGUUGUUUCCACCUUUUGGCUAUUGUGAAUAGUGUUGCAGUGAAUAUUGGUGUACAAGUAUUGGUUUGUGUUCCUGCUUUCAGUACUUUUGGGUAUAUACCUAGGAAUUGAAUUGCUGGGUCAUAUGUUAAUUCCAGGUUGAAUUUUUUUGAGGAACCCCCAAACUAUUUUUCACAGACUAUACCACCUAAUUUUAAUACAAAAUUGUUAUUUAAAAUGUUUUACUCUGGGGGCAGGGCCAA